CGAAAGUUGAUAAGAAAAAUAAUGGUAAGUGUAAUAGAAUGCUAUGCUUAACACUAUGGAAUGUCAUAGUGAUGUCACAUCCUGCGCUUCCUCAUUAAAGCCUUGACAGUUUCUGCAUUUAUGCCAUAUCUAAUCCAGCCAAAGGACUAACAUGAUUAUACUAAUAAUCAUCAAACUGAUAAUUCUGCAGCAUAUUUCAGAAUCCAGUGAUGUUACACAGACACCAGUAUUAUGGGUUCAACAGGGUGAAUUUGCACAAAUGAACUGCAGUCAUACUAUGGGUGCAGGCUAUAACUACAUGUAUUGGUUUCAACAACGAAAGGGAGAAACAAUGAGACUCAUUGCCUCCAUUAUAACAGGCAGCAAUCCAGAUUUUGGUGAAUUUUCUGAUGAUAAAUACUCAGCUGAAAAGACUGUAGCUGAUAAAGGGUCUUUCACAGUGAAGAAGCUGCAGCCCGAUGACAGUGGUGUGUAUUUCUGUGCAGUGAGUGAGCACAGUGACGCAUACCUAUUGUGCUGCUGUACAAAAACCUUAACUUCCUUAAUGACUUGUGGUGCAUAAAAAUAUAUUUUUUAAUCUAAAGUGACAUUUUUUUAACAGACAUUUCUUCUCAUGCAGUCUGUAUUUAUGACAUUUUGUAAUCUAGACAGAGAACUAAUAUGAUAACAAUAAUAUUCUUUAAAUUGACAAUACUGCAACGUAGUAUGUUGCAUGCAAACAGCCUUCAAAUAAUCUUCAAAAAACAUGAAUCAAUCAAUCAAUAAGUAUUGGAACAGUAAAAACAAAAUUGUUCUGUUUGCUGUGGAGUCAAGGAAUCUGUAAAUAUGAUUAAAAGAUGAAUAUGAGACAAAACUACAGAAUGUCACAUUUUAUUAUUGGGUGAUUCAACACAAAGAUGUUUUACCAGCUAAGAAGAUCAGCACUUUUAGAGUUUCAUCUCCCUAUCUGAUGUGAGCAAUUCUAAGUCUUGCAUUCGAUGAUGACACACUCAAACCAGGAUGAAGACGAGGAAGCCAACUCUGAAAGAAAAGCAAGCAAUUUGGAUGCUAAAAGAAAAUAGGAAGUCAAUUAGAACUAUAGGAAAAACAAAGGGCAUGGAGAAAUUAAGAGUUUGGAAACUUCUGGCAACAUCAGCAACCAACGACGACCUGAUCGGCUGAGAAAAACAACAGUAAUUGAGGACAGACAAAUCAAAGCUGUGAAAAUGAACCCUAAAAUACAUGUCUGUAAAAUCACCAACAACCUCCAGAAAGCUGGGGUGAUGCUCUGUCAAACUACAGUCCUCAGGAGAAUUUGACACAGAAUUACAGAAGCUACACAGCAAGAUACAAACCUCUGAUCAGUACCAAAAAAAUAGAAAGGCAAGAUUCUUCACAAAUGUAAGCCAGUAGAGUUUUGGAACUGAGUUGAUGGACCGAUGAGACAAAGAUUAACCUUAAUCUAAGUGACUGGAAAGCAAAAGUGUGGAGAAAAAAAGGAACUGGAAAUGAUCCUAAGCAUACAACCUCAUCUGUAAAGCUUAGUGGGGGUGGCGUCAUGGCAUGGGCAGCAUGGCUGUCUCUAGAACAGGACCUCUUCAUUUUAAUUAUGACUUAAUGUAUGAUGGCAGUAGCAGAAUGAAUUUGGAAGGGUACAAAAUCAUCUUGGCUACCAAUAUUCAAGAAAAUGCCACCAAACUCUUUUAUCAGGGCAAAGAAAUGUAAAGUCUUAGAUUGCCCAAAUCAAUCUCCAGAUUUAAAUCCGAUUGAACAUUAAUUUUACCAGCUGAAGAGGAGACUAAAGACAGAAACUCCCCAAAACAAGCAACAGUUGG
rnacentral:lncRNA from 1 species